rnacentral:rRNA from 1 species
CACGUAGGGCGCAAGCGUUGUCCGGAAUUAUUGGGCGUAAAGAGCUCGUAGGCGGUCUGUUACGUCUGCUGUGAAAACCCAGGGCUUAACCCUGGGCUUGCAGUGGAUACGGGCAGACUAGAGGCAGGUAGGGGAGAAUGGAAUUCCCGGUGUAGCGGUGAAAUGCGCAGAUAUCGGGAGGAACACCGGUGGCGAAGGCGGCUCUCUGGGACGGUACUGACGCUGAGACGCGAAAGCGUGGGGAGCGAACAGG